CUGUCCUCUGUCAACACCCCCUCCCAGUCCUGUCCUUAUCACUGAGGCCUAGGCUUCUGUGCAGCCAGAGUGGGUGGGGGAAUCUUCUCUCCACAGGGCUGUGACUUUCUCAGAGGGAGAGAUAAAGCUUGGGUCCUGAUGAGGCCUCAGGUCAAUCAGGAAAGUGAGUAAACAGAAGGCUGGAUAGAAGCCAGAGAGAACAAGAGACAAGUGGAGCGUGGGCAAUAGUGGAUGGCUCAAAAUAUUCGUGCAGAGGACCUGGGUUCAAUUCUCAGCACCCACAUGGUGGCUCACAACCAACUAUAACUUCAGUUCCAGGUCAAACUCUUCAGAGGUCAAACUCCUCCAUCUUCACCCUAGCACUGGAAACGGUCUCCAUUCGUGGACCUUUGGGAGCAACAGUAGGGAGAAGGACCAACAUCGAGACUCACGUGACAGUCGGCUGACGUGUACAGAUGCUUCUUUUUUUAACUUGCACGGAGCUUGUUGAAUUUAAAACCAAACACCAACAUUUUAAAAUUCAAGGAUUUUAUCGCUUCUCGGCCUUUUGGCUAAGAUCAAGUGUAGUAUCUGUUCUUAUCAGUUUAAAAUUCAAGGAUUUUAAUUAAGAGUCUGUGUGGGCAUACAUUUUUUUGCAACCUAUUUUUAAUUAAAGGGUUCAACCUCUCCUCUUGCCCACCGCCCAGCAGAGGUCGUGGAAGAGGAAAGUUAUUAGGAUGUGGGGGAAGUGGACCUGUGCAGCAAUGGCUCUUCGGGGCUGAGCUCCAUCUUCUUGGGCAGCAGCUCAAUCCCAUAGCAAACACCAAAUACGACUCAGCAGCUACAGUUCAGUCCUUUCAGCAGGCAGACACCAGGCAGCUGUAGUUCAAUCCUGAAGAAACCACCAGGCUCGCCAACUGGCCAGAGGCGAGGCUGCUGAAGUGGCAAGGGGAGCUGGGCGCUCGUUGCUUCCUGAGGGUGAGGACAGUCUCAUCUGGUAAUCUCUACUUACUUGUUUGCCUGCUCCUGUAUAAGGAGCCCCUCCCAGAGCACCCAAGUCCUAACUAUGGGAGUAGUCAGGAUUUCUUUUAGAUGGUGGGGGACGAAUAGAGAGAAAGCAAGCCUUGGGCUUGGGCUUGAACCUUAAUAAAGAAGUUAAGUGAGCUUCCCUGAUUCUAGUUGUCCUGUGUUAAUGGCCCCCAUGGGCUGCUCUGGGGAGUGGGAAGAAGGAUCUCACAGUGCAGGGAAAGGUCAGUCUAGCUUGAAAUAUUCCUGAGAGCACUGGAUCUCCUAACUCUUGAGAAGGAUGGGCUUACCUGUGUAAGACGUCCAUCACAUCAAUGAUAACUAUCAAAUGAUGUUAAGACUCAGGACUCUGACUUUAGUGCCGUCUCUGUGGUUUACAUGCUGGGUGCUUGUAUAGUAAUUUCACUUCCUGAGCACGUUUUCUCACGUAGGACCACAGAACAUGGUUAAACCAGAGUUCUCACUUCAAGUAGCACUCUGGGGAUUAAAUCCAAAGGUAUGUAGAAAGUACUUAAGAAUUAGUGUAGCCAGUUUCAUGCACACCUUUAAUCCUAACACUUGGGAGGCAAGGCUGGUGGAUCUCUAAGUUCCAGGCCAGCCUGGUCUAUACAUAAAAAGUUCCAAGCCGGUCAAUAGCUACAUAGAGAGAUCUCAAAAAUCAAAAACAAAACAAAUCACACCACUACUGCUUACUUCUGCCAUCAACCUUUUAACGUCGCUGUGGGAGAUAAGGAAGUGAGGUAAAGGAUGUAACACCCCCGUCCCAGAUCUUAGCACAGCUGACUCCAUGACCGAAGUACCAUUCAAGUUGUAAAACUGAGGACAUAGGCAGUACCACCUGCCAAAACUGGGAUAAAGGCCCAAUCCAUCAAAGUCCAUAGCUCUGGGAAAGUCUAAAUGUACCAAGCUUGGUUUUUGGCUUCUGUAGUUCUGCUUCUGGUUGUCUUGUUAUCUGGAAGUAUGUCAAUCCAGGAUGUGGUUUUUAUGCUUAAAACCUCACUCUGAGAAAGGCUUGGUUCUCCACUGGGACCUUGAGAGCUCAGUGUAGUCGCUGGUUGGAUGAUAAAGACUUUCUAUUGGCAUAAACCUGUGUCCAGGCUGUCUUCUCCGGUGGAUACCCCACAACAGGAUCACAGAGAACUGGACACGGGGUGACCAGAAGCGAAGAACAUACAGUGGAUUUUAUUUUAAAUCAUGGCAUUUAAACCAUGAGUUCCAGAAUGUGUUUUAGAUAAAAUCUGAAAGGUAGAAUUUAAAAGCUGUCUAACCCUUUGGGGGAAAAUGAAAGAUGUUCGGCCAGGUGUGACUAAUCUCUGAGUUCCCUGAGCACAGAGCUGGCACUUUGCAAACACUGGUGUCUUUGUGAACCAGUGGAAAUUAUUUCUUAGGGCACAUCAGUCUCCUCAUUUGUAAAUGUUUAUGAAGAUCAGGAGAUAAUGGCUUGGAAUUUGUCUGACUAAAAGUAAGUACUGGCCAUGUUCCGGGUGAGAAUCCCCGAUACACAUGCUGGGAAGGGAAACAUUCUGGUCAGUUUGUCUGUUAGGAUAACUGUUAUGUUACUGCUAUGACAACUAAGGUAAAAACAUCCUGUGCCCCUGUGACCUCCAAUUCUGCUCAUUUUAAAAAGUUCAUCGG
rnacentral:sRNA from 1 species